ensembl:lncRNA
GGUAGAGAGUGGUCAGAAUAUAAAGUGCAAUUAGUUAUCCAUAUUAUUGUAACGUCGAGACAUUUAGAGUGUUAUUAUAUUUUAGAUUAAAAAUAAAACUUGCAUUUUGUGCAAAGUUACAAAUGUACAGGUCACGACAGAUAAUCACGUUUCUCCCACAGGUAAUUUUUUUUUUUUAAUUUAUUGUUGAUGACACACAACUUCAGUUCCCAGCAAUCCUCAGUGUUUUCUAUUUGAUCAACUGCACAAGUGAGAGAGGGGUAACUUAAGUGAGACCAGCCACUCAGGUCCUCUUUCUCACUGUUUCUCAACCAUUUUUCAUCCUGUUCUGAAAGCCAGCUGCAUCAGUGCAAACGAGUAGGUCUGAAACCAGAGGUGCCACCCCUGCACCUCCAUUUUUUUUGUCUCCACCAAGCAUAAAUUCUGUGAUCAUAUCAGUGCAGCAAUAUGCAGAAAUGACAGGAGGACAGAUCCCCCUUUGAAAUAUUAUAUAGGUAUGCGCUGUAACCUGUGGUGAUUAUAAACGCAAAACAAGAUAGCCUUGCAUUAUCGGCUGCAAAGUAAGAAGUGUGUCCACAGUUGCAUUACUAUAAGUCAUUUGUUAAAUGGUUUAUCUUGGUGUUUCUUUAUGAUUCCUUUUCUGAUUUCUUAUGCUUUUAUUUUCUAUUUUUCCCAACUCGAGCCCCUGAAAAUGAAAUCUUAUGAUAUACUCUGGACUCCUCCACCUCCCUCUUUUCUAUCCUGAUGUUCAUAUGCCACUAAUCACUAACUUUUCUCUCAUCUUACUGUUUUUGUUUGUUUUGUUUUUUUUAUUUGUCCUGAUCCCUUUGUGCUCGUCUUUUUUCUGCCCCUCCCUGAUUCUGAAGUUUCUUCCCUUUAAAACAGAGUUCUUUCUCCCCACCGUCGCUUGUCUAACACUUUAUGGUCUUUACCUUUCAUAUCUAGCACUUUCAGGUGAAUGCUAUGAUAACCCCCGCAUCCCCUCCGCUCACAGAAGUUUUGUGCCUACCAUCGCAUCAAACGGCAGGUGGCAGCAGAGAGCCUCUUACAUAACGCACAACCUGCUUUUUGCGAAUUGAGAGUAGAGAUGUUGUGUUUGAAGGCUGUGUAACAGCUGAGUGCUACACCUGCAUCCACGCAGUGAACUGCAGCAAGUGAGGUUUACACGAUUUCCACAUUGAAGUGCUUUAAAUCCGGUAAUCUGUGAAAUCACUGCGCCUCAGUGGUGGCCCGUGAUUCUUACACUGAGUUUUUUGUUUUUUGUUUACAUAUGAGAUGUGGUAGCGAUGCUAUGGCCCUUCCCCUAUAAGUCACGGAUACGUAACACCACACGCGCUCCCCGCUGCCAUAAUGUGCAUAUUUUGUACAGAGUGGAAAACAACACUGGCGUUUUGUUGGGUGCGUGAUUUUACUCCCUGUGCAAUAUUUACAACGGAAGACUAAUUGUGGAUUUUUACUUGUUUACUUGUUACUUGG